UUUGGUUCUAGGAAAACGCUCUGGAAAGAGCGGCCAUAGAAGGUGAUAGCCCUGUAUCUGAAAGGGCCAUUUCAGUGAAGACGAGUAGGGCGGGGCACGUGAAACCCUGUCUGAACAUGGGGGGACCAUCCUCCAAGGCUAAAUACUACUGACCGACCGAUAGUGAACCAGUACCGUGAGGGAAAGGCGAAAAGAACCCCGGAGAGGGGAGUGAAAUAGAACCUGAAACCGUGUGCGUACAAGCAGUAGGAGCUACGCAAGGAGUGAUUGCGUACCUUUUGUAUAAUUGGUCAGCGACGUACUGUUCGUGGCAAGCUUAACC
rnacentral:rRNA from 1 species